rnacentral:rRNA from 1 species
GUUUAUGCCGCAUGGCAUAAGAGUGAAAGGCGCUUUCGGGUGUCGCUGAUGGAUGGACCCGCGGUGCAUUAGCUAGUUGGUGAGGUAACGGCUCACCGAGGCCACGAUGCAUAGCCGACCUGAGAGGGUGAUCGGUCACGCUGGGACUGAGACACGGCCUAGACUCCUACGGGAGGCAGCAGUAGGGAAUCUUCGGCAAUGGACGAAAGUCUGACCGAGCAACGCCGCGUGAGUGAAGAAGGUUUUCGGAUCGUAAAACUCUGUUGUUAGAGAAGAACAAGGACGUUAGUAACUGAACGUCCCCUGACGG